UAGUCCGGAUCGCAGUCUGCAACUCGACUGCGUGAAGUCGGAAUCGCUAGUAAUCGUGGAUCAGAAUGUCACGGUGAAUACGUUCCCGGGUCUUGUACACACCGCCCGUCACACCAUGGGAGCGGGUUCUGCCAGAAGUAGUUAGCCUAACCGCAAGGAGGGCGAUUACCACGGCAGGGUUCGUGACUGGGGUGAAGUCGUAACAAGGUAGCCGUAUCGGAAGG
rnacentral:rRNA from 1 species